GGGACACGUGGUAUCCUGUCUGAAUAUGGGGGGACCAUCCUCCAAGGCUAAAUACUCCUGACUGACCGAUAGUGAACCAGUACCGUGAGGGAAAGGCGAAAAGAACCCCGGCGAGGGGAGUGAAAAAGAACCUGAAACCGUGUACGUACAAGCAGUGGGAGCCUCUUUAUGGGGUGACUGCGUACCUUUUGUAUAAUGGGUCAGCGACUUAUAUUCUGUAGCAAGGUUAACCGAAUAGGGGAGCCGAAGGGAAACCGAGUCUUAACUGGGCGUUAAGUUGCAGGGUAUAGACCCGAAACCCGGUGAUCUAGCCAUGGGCAGGUUGAAGGUUGGGUAACACUAACUGGAGGACCGAACCGACUAAUGUUGAAAAAUUAGCGGAUGACUUGUGGCUGGGGGUGAAAGGCCAAUCAAACCGGGAGAUAGCUGGUUCUCCCCGAAAGCUAUUUAGGUAGCGCCUCGUGAAUUCAUCUCCGGGGGUAGAGCACUGUUUCGGCAAGGGGGUCAUCCCGACUUACCAACCCGAUGCAAACUGCGAAUACCGGAGAAUGUUAUCACGGGAGACACACGGCGGGUGCUAACGUCCGUCGUGAAGAGGGAAACAACCCAGACCGCCAGCUAAGGUCCCAAAGUCAUGGUUAAGUGGGAAACGAUGUGGGAAGGCCCAGACAGCCAGGAUGUUGGCUUAGAAGCAGCCAUCAUUUAAAGAAAGCGUAAUAGCUCACUGGUCGAGUCGGCCUGCGCGGAAGAUGUAACGGGGCUAAACCAUGCACCGAAGCUGCGGCAGCGACACUAUGUGUUGUUGGGUAGGGGAGCGUUCUGUAAGCCUGUGAAGGUGUGCUGUGAGGUAUGCUGGAGGUAUCAGAAGUGCGAAUGCUGACAUAAGUAACGAUAAAGCGGGUGAAAAGCCCGCUCGCCGGAAGACCAAGGGUUCCUGUCCAACGUUAAUCGGGGCAGGGUGAGUCGACCCCUAAGGCGAGGCCGAAAGGCGUAGUCGAUGGGAAACAGGUUAAUAUUCCUGUACUUGGUGUUACUGCGAAGGGGGGACGGAGAAGGCUAUGUUGGCCGGGCGACGGUUGUCCCGGUUUAAGCGUGUAGGCUGGUUUUCCAGGCAAAUCCGGAAAAUCAAGGCUGAGGCGUGAUGACGAGGCACUACGGUGCUGAAGCAACAAAUGCCCUGCUUCCAGGAAAAGCCUCUAAGCAUCAGGUAACAUCAAAUCGUACCCCAAACCGACACAGGUGGUCAGGUAGAGAAUACCAAGGCGCUUGAGAGAACUCGGGUGAAGGAACUAGGCAAAAUGGUGCCGUAACUUCGGGAGAAGGCACGCUGAUAUGUAGGUGAAGUCCCUUGCGGAUGGAGCUGAAAUCAGUCGAAGAUACCAGCUGGCUGCAACUGUUUAUUAAAAACACAGCACUGUGCAAACACGAAAGUGGACGUAUACGGUGUGACGCCUGCCCGGUGCCGGAAGGUUAAUUGAUGGGGUUAGCGGUAACGCGAAGCUCUUGAUCGAAGCCCCGGUAAACGGCGGCCGUAACUAUAACGGUCCUAAGGUAGCGAAAUUCCUUGUCGGGUAAGUUCCGACCUGCACGAAUGGCGUAAUGAUGGCCAGGCUGUCUCCACCCGAGACUCAGUGAAAUUGAACUCGCUGUGAAGAUGCAGUGUACCCGCGGCAAGACGGAAAGACCCCGUGAACCUUUACUA
rnacentral:rRNA from 1 species